AGGAGUUGCUCUGCCUUGCUCGCUUGACCGCAGGCUAGGUGGGGAGGAGAGACCGGUUCUCGGGUCUCCCGGCUUCGGCCGGCUCGCCUUUUCGGCGGGCGGGUUGAGGUCGGGUGAGCCUUGCGGCCUGAGCUCGUCUGCUCGGUGCCGAUGACGCCAUGUCCGGCCUGGUCGGAGCCCUCGGCUCUCCAGGCUCGCUGGCGGCCCUUGGUGGGAUGCGGGGAUGGUGAUGGUGAUGAUGAUUCUUCGUCGUCGUUUUCUGCGUCCUGCCUCGGGUUUGAAUGUGCACCUGCCCCCCCCCAGUGGAGGGUUGUGAGAAGGAAAAGGUGAUGGAGUUUCUUACCUGUGGUGCUUGGUGGUGACGUGGAUGGGUGGCCUGCCUUGCUUCGUCCCCGGUUGGGGCUGCCCGUCCGACCUCCCCCCUUUGUCCCUGAACAAAGAAAAUAUCACACCGUACAGUGGAUCACUUGGCUCGGGGGUCGAUGAAGAACGCAGCUAGUUGCGAGUCGGAAUGUGAACUGCAGGACAUAUGAAGCAUCGACACUUUGAACGCACAUUGCGGACAUGGGCUUGUCCCCUGUCCAUGUCUGCUCAGGGUCGGCUUUACAUCCAUCCAGCUUGAUUGCUGGCUUUGGGGUUUGUCUCCUCGGCUCGGCUUAGCUUCGAUGCUGAGGAGUCCCCCUAAGAUGUGCCGCCUGCCUAGCCGGAGGUGAGCUCCUUGCUGACUCUUGGGUGUGACUCUGCGUCUGCCUGGGUUGGCGAACUGAAGGGGGCUCGCUUCUGGUGGCGGGCUUGCGGGAGGGGGGGUUUUCUGGUUCCCCCGCCCGAACUGGGCUGCGAUGGACGGCUGGCCUUCCGAAAGGAGGGCUGGCCGCCCUUCGCCGCCUUGCUGUUU
rnacentral:rRNA from 1 species